CAGCCGCCACGGAAUACGUAGGGUGCAAGCGUUAAUCGGAAUUACUGGGCGUAAAGCGUGCGCAGGCGGUUAUAUAAGACAGAUGUGAAAUCCCCGGGCUCAACCUGGGAACUGCAUUUGUGACUGUAUAGCUAGAGUACGGCAGAGGGGGAUGGAAUUCCGCGUGUAGCAGUGAAAUGCGUAGAUAUGCGGAGGAACACCGAUGGCGAAGGCAAUCCCCUGGGCCUGUACUGACGCUCAUGCACGAAAGCGUGGGGAGCAAACAGGAUUAGAUACCCGCGUAGUCCCUGUCUCUUAUACA
rnacentral:rRNA from 1 species